UUUCCGUAGGUGAACCAGCGGAGGGAUCAUUAUUGUGUAGCCAAGGUGCCAGAACCGUCGUUGACGCGACCGGAACCGCUGCUCCGGCGGCCCUCCCACACAUUUAUCCCCCCCCUGCGUCUGCCACCCCCCGGGUCCCCCCUUCGCAUGUUCCGAGACGGGUGUCCGUUUUUACCCUCACUUAGUCUUCUGUACUGAAUGUCUUAAUUCUUUUUGCAAUCGCGCAAUCGCUUCAACUUUCCAUAACGGAUCUAUUUGCUCUCGCAUCGACGCAGACCA
rnacentral:misc_RNA from 1 species